rnacentral:snoRNA from 1 species
AUGGCCUCUUCGAAGAUUGAUGAACUUAUUUCUUCAGUAGUUUAUCGAUUCAAAGCGAGGCCUAAAUCAAGUUUGGAAAGGGGAUUUAAGUAUUCACUUUCCAGUUUUUUUAAAGUGACGUAC